AGAGGGGGAUAGCCGGGCGAAAGGCGGAUUAAUACCCCAUAAAACAGGGGUCCCGCAUGGGAAUAUUUGUUAAAGAUUCAUCGCUGAUAGAUAGGCAUGCGUUCCAUUAGGCAGUUGGCGGGGUAACGGCCCACCAAACCGACGAUGGAUAGGGGUUCUGAGAGGAAGGUCCCCCACAUUGGUACUGAGACACGGACCAAACUCCUACGGGAGGCAGCAGUGAGGAAUAUUGGUCAAUGGCCGAGAGGCUGAACCAGCCAAGUCGCGUGAAGGAAGAAGGAUCUAUGGUUUGUAAACUUCUUUUAUAGGGGAAUAAAGUGGAGGACGUGUCCUUUUUUGUAUGUACCCUAUGAAUAAGCAUCGGCUAACUCCGUGCCAGCAGCCGCGGUAAUACGGAGGAUGCGAGCGUUAUCCGGAUUUAUUGGGUUUAAAGGGUGCGUAGGUGGUGAUUUAAGUCAGCGGUGAAAGUUUGUGGCUCAACCAUAAAAUUGCCGUUGAAACUGGGUUACUUGAGUGUGUUUGAGGUAGGCGGAAUGCGUGGUGUAGCGGUGAAAUGCAUAGAUAUCACGCAGAACUCCGAUUGCGAAGGCAGCUUACUAAACCAUAACUGACACUGAAGCACGAAAGCGUGGGGAUCAAACAGGAUUAGAUACCCUGGUAGUCCACGCAGUAAACGAUGAUUACUAGGAGUUUGCGAUACAAUGUAAGCUCUACAGCGAAAGCGUUAAGUAAUCCACCUGGGGAGUACGCCGGCAACGGUGAAACUCAAAGGAAUUGACGGGGGCCCGCACAAGCGGAGGAACAUGUGGUUUAAUUCGAUGAUACGCGAGGAACCUUACCCGGGUUUGAACGUANUCUGACCGGAGUNNAACACUCUUUCUAGCAAUAGCANAUUACGANGUGCUG
rnacentral:rRNA from 2 species